rnacentral:ncRNA from 1 species
UGACCUCGGAUCAGUUAGGGAUACCCGCUGAACUUAAGCAUAUCAUAAGCGGAGGAAAAGAAACCAACAGGGAUUGCUCUAGUAACGGCGAGUGAAGCAGCAUAGCUCAAAUUUGAAAUCUGGCGUCUUCGGCGUCCGA